AAAAUACUAUAUUAUGUACAUUACAAUAUUAAAUAUUUUUUUAAAAAAAUUUAAUUUUAUACAGAUCCUUAUAAAAAUAUCAAAAAAAAGAUAAAUCUUUACAAAACUCAAAUUAUUAGAUUUAUAUCCCUUCAAAAAUCUCCGACUUGCAAAUAUAUUCCUCCAAAAAUUCUGGUCCGUUUAUAUAUGUUCAUACCGUUUGAUUCACCGUUAAUUUUUUAAUAGUAGGUGCGUAUUAUAAAGUUGUUUACGCAAAAAGUUAUCUUUCUUUCUCUCUCUCCUCGACUUCGUCGCGGCACGUGCAGCGUAUCUUAUUUUUGCCACGACCGAGGGCCUCGUAUUCAGCGUAGCCGCCGACAUAGGUCCUGCCGUCGCCAUGGAUAAAGAGAUGAGAAUGAGAAAAAUGACGGAAUUCAAUAUUAGAAUACAAAUUAUAUAUGUAUAUGUGGGGUAACAAAGUCAUUUCGCUCUUUAGCUAACUGUGAUUAGCUUUUUUAACUCGUGAUUAUCUAAAUUUUGGUUACAGAAGGAUAUACCUGCAAACCAGAGAGCUUUUGGAGGGAUAAAUUGAUAACUUCAGUUAUGUAUAUUUAUUAUUUGAUACUUUUAUAAGGUGUCAUAUGCAAUUAUCCCUCUAUUAUCUGAUACUUGUCACUUGUGUAAAAUUUUUUGUGCCACCCACAAAUUAUGGGGCUUUCUAGGGGCCUUUGUGUAAAAACCCUUUGUUCUUUCUCUACAGUGCAAUUUGUACUAUCUACAUAGGGAGAGGAAUAGAAGAUAGAGUGGUGUUUUGAUUGAUGUGGUUAUGAUUGGGCUACACAAAGGUUCCAUUCACAUUUCACACUGUUGUUGAGUGACAUACAUGUAUCACAGUUACACCAAAGGGGUUACACCAUAGGGAACUCCAAUGUAUUAUGAUUGCAUGAUUUGAUUGAUUGAUUGGUUUUGAAGGUUUAGAUUGAUUGAUAGAUAGAUUGAGGGAGAGGUACCAAAUUGGUUAUUAUUAUUUAGGUUAGUUAAGUAUUUGGAAAAUGCUUUGCACAUAGGAGUUAAUGUUGACAAAACUAGUAUUAAUUUUGUCUCAAAUGUAGUGUAGUUGGAGAUACAUGGAGUUGGAAGUACAGCAGUUGUAACUACAUGCAUUCUGUUUGGUUGGAUAUAGUAGAAAGGCAUUGCAACUAUAAAUAAUUUGUUUGGUUUCAUAUAGUUGGGAAAUGAUUUUUAAAAUUUUAUUAUUUUGUAUAUAUGAUGGUGAGAUUAUCUCCAAUAUAAAAAAGAAAAAUAUUUUUUAUUUAAAAAAUAAUUAAGGAUGUAAGCAUAUAUUUUUGUUUAAAUUUACUUUUUGCAACUGCUGCUGUAGUCGGAACUAUGGUCAAUUUGGGCGUAGUUCAAACUGCUGCAAUUGUGCCUCCUUUUUGUAGUUUCUACUGCAAGAGUUUAAGUUAAAUAUAUCAAACCAAACAUCGAAUUUGCAUUUCUAUACAGUUACAACUGUCGUGCAGUUGUAAUUAUAUGCAAUCAAAUGGCACCUAAAA
rnacentral:lncRNA from 1 species